rnacentral:rRNA from 1 species
GUAGGUGGCAAGCGUUGUCCGGAAUUAUUGGGCGUAAAGCGCGCGCAGGUGGUUCUUUAAGUCUGAUGUGAAAGCCCCCGGCUCAACCGGGGAGGGUCAUUGGAAACUGGGGAACUUGAGUGCAGGAGAGGAAAGUGGAAUUCCACGUGUAGCGGUGAAAUGCGUAGAUAUGUGGAGGAACACCAGUGGCGAAGGCGACUUUCUGGCCUGUAACUGACACUGAGGCGCGAAAGCGUGGGGAGCAAACAGGGAUUAGAUACCCUGGUAGUCCACGCCGUAAACGAUGAGUGCUAAGUGUUGGGGGGGUUUCCGCCCCUCAGUGCUGCAGCUAACGCAUUAAGCACUCCGCCUGGGAGUACGGUCGCAAGACUG